UCUGCCUGUAAAAAAUUUAAAAAAAAAAAAGACUCAAGUGUGCUGUCUUGAAGCACACUGCUUCUCUAUUCUGUAGUGUGAACUCCAGGUCAUUAUUAUGUAAUUGUUAGCAGUCUUAAUAGGUAAAAAAAGGCUGUGUUCUCUUUGAUGGGUGCUCUUGUUACUCACGCCUCCUACCUAGGCUAGAAAGCAGAGUACCUUUAGAUGUUUCUACAUGCAUGUGGAGCGACUCAGCUUUUUCUCUUUAUAGCUUUGGUAUAACUAGAAUCUUCCCUCUCUGCCACCUUUGUUCCAUGGCCCUGCUGCAGAUUAUUGUCAUCCUUUGCCUCUUAUUCUUGUUCUGCUCAUCCUCCUCAAAAGCACCAGUCGUUUGACCAAUACAUGCACUCAGUAAAUGGAGAGAAUACAGGGAGGCACUUUGAACACGUAGGGGCAUUUCUCUUAUCAAAUGCCUGACACGGGAAUGUUACUGCUGAUCUUGCUCUGAUUAGAUUUCUUUCUUCUUUCUUUCUUUUUUAAUGAUUUAUUUUCUUAAAAGUCAGAGUUACACAGAGAGAGAAGGAGAGGACGAGAGAGAGGCAGAGGGAGAGGUCUUCCGUCUGCUGGUUCAUUCCCCAGAUGGCUGCAAUGGCUGGAGCUGCUGCAAUCUGAAGCCAGGAGCCAGGAGUUUCUUCCAGGUCUCUCACAUGGGUGCAGGGGCCCAAGGACUUGAGCCAUCUUCUACUGCUUUCCCAGGCCACAGCAGAGAGCUGGAUUGGAAGUGGAGCAGCUGAGGCUCAUGCCUGCACUGCAGGCAGUGGCUUUACCUGCUACACCACAGCGCUUACCUGCUAGAUUUCCUCUUUCUAACAUAGGCAGUACAGUACUGUCCUUUUGAGAGGAACAAAGGUUGUAAACCUCACAUGUGAAAUGAGAAGUUGAGUAAGAAGACCUUCAGGGGCAGGUAUUUGAUGUUGGAUGGCAUUAAGAAGCUGCUUGGAACACCUGCAUCCCAUAUGGUAUUCCCUGUUUCAAGUCCUGGUGUUGCUACUUUACUCAAAAAAAAAAAAAAAGAGAUAAGGUUUUUCAUUUGAAAGGCAGAGAGACAGAGAGGGAGAGAGAUAGAUCGAUCUUCCAUCCACUGGUUCACUCCCCAAAUGGCCUCAGUGGUGGCUGGGACCGGGCCAGGCCAAAGUCAAGAGCCAGGAGCUUCAUCUGGGUAUCCCACAAGAGUGGUAGGGCCCAAGCACUUGGGCCAUCUGUAUUGCCUUCGCAGGCAAUUAGGGAGCUGGUCCAGAAAUGGAGCAUCUGGGACUGGAAGUGGUACCCAUAUGGGAUGCUGGCGUUGCAGGGGGCAGCUUUACCCACAACACCACAGUGCCAACACCUAGUGCUGCUUAUGAUGCAGCUCCUAGCUGAUGUAUCUAACAUUGAGAAAUGAGAGAAAAAGUACCAACAUGAUAACGUGCACGUAGAAAAUGUCAACAGUGACCUCAGAUGCUGCCUUUCUGUAUUCUGUCUUGCUUUGUGGAAGAUAGGAUUUGUCACAUUUCAAACACAUUCCAUAGGUUAAAUGCAGGGCUAGACUGUGAAGGGUGGUGACUGGCAAGCAGACCUGUGUUCUGUGGAGAACUGUGUAGAUCACAGGUGUUCCGUGUCCUUGUGCAAGUGGAUACGUAAGAGUCUGAAUAAAUAAAUUGCAAAGAUUUCCUGAUGCGUGAGUCAGAGAAUACGCCAGACAGAAUGUUUGUAAGGAAGAAGAGAAGGAAUGUGUACCAGAAUCUUUUCUAAGUUAAACUCUUUUUCAAAUUCUGUGUUAAUAGGGUAUGUAGUGCAUAUAAUAUCAAAUUCUACACAAACUCUAGUAGUUGGUCUUGAUGCAGUAUUUUAUUUACAGCUAUGUCUUCCUUUUUUAAAUUUUUUACUUUUUUCGAUCUUUCUUAUUUUUCAUUGAGAGUUACACAUGGAGAGGAUGAGAGGCAGAGUGAGAGGAGAGAGAGGGAGGUCUCCCAUCUGCUGGUCCACUACCCUGUUGGCUGCAAAGGGCAGGAGCUGAGCGGAUCUGAAGCCAGGAACCAGGAGCCAGGAGCCUCCCCGGGGUCUCCUGCAUGGGUGCAGGGGCCCAAGGAGUUGGGCCAUCUUCUGCUGCAUUCCCAGACCGCAGCAGAGAGCUGCUUCGGAAGUACAGCAGCCGGGACUCGAACCGGAGCCCAUAUGGGAUGCCGGCACUGUGGGCGGUGGCUUUACCCGCUACCGCACAGCGCUGGUCCCUCCCGGAAGCUGUUCCCCGUGGGAUCCAGCUGUCUGCUAACGUACCUGGGAAAGCAGAGGGAGAUGGCCCAAGGACGUAGGCCCCUGAACCCAGAAGGGAGCACCGGAUAAAGUCCCUGGCAUCUGCUUUGGCCUGGCCCAGCCCCGGCCUUUGUAGUCACCUGGGGGGUUGAUCCCCCAGAAGGACGCUCUGGCGAGAAAGAGCGCUCGUGAUGCCGCUUGCAUUGCUUCUCUCCCCAUGCGGCUUCAACAGCAUGCGCUGUGCCAAACAGAAGCCAGGGGGCAGGAGCUCCAUUGAGGACUCCCAGGAGGCAGGGAAGUGGGGUGCAGAGUACCUGGGCCACCAGCGGCUGCCCCGCCUGGGUAAAGCCUGGAGGGGCGGGACUGGAAGUGACCCUGGGGGCGCUGGACGCGGGAUGUCGCAGUGCGCAGAUGCGUCCCGUUGCGCCAUGGCGACGGCCAGUGAGGAGUGCGCCUGCGCCUGGCGCUGUGACCUGGAAGUGCACCCGCAGGCGCAUCUGCAGCUGUGCUGGUGCUCAGGUAGGAGUCAGCGUCGUGUCCGCUCCUGCCCAGCGCUGGCACAAGCCUUGAGGAGCCAUCCUCGACGCUGGUGGCCCACCCUGAGAAGACACAGUGCAGUCUUUUGCUUCGGCCCCUUCUGGAAGACUACACCUCAAGACUGCGUUCAUGUUCCAGAGACACAGAAACGGCCUUCCUGCGGAGAGUUUGGUGUGGUGGCCUUCCUGUCACUGGACUGCACACAGGGAGGAGAAAGCAGAAGCUUAGAGAAACCCCAAGAAUCCCUCUUUGCUCUGUUCCAGCCUGCCCCAAGAUUCUGACACCUCAUACGCCGUGGAGCUCUUCAUUGGAGCAUGUGCUAAGCCCUGGCCCUAAGAACAAGGAGGUGAGCAGCCGAGAGCAACACCUGCAGGAAGGGCCGGGCUGCCGGUAGUAGAUUCAACAGGACCCUCAGGUUUGUCCAUCCUCGCCUGGUGAGUCUUCUUGAAAUGUUUGUGCAUAUCAUACGCCGGUCCUGGACACAGGCAGGGGACACUUGGGCCUUUAGGAGCCAUUGGGAAGGAAGAAUAAAUUGUAUGUUAUAAAUUGAAUACUGUAUUUUAUAUGAUAACCUUUUAUUAUAUAUUAUAAAUUUCAUAUCAUAUGUUCUAAAUAGAUUUUAAAUUGUAUAUUGUAAACCAUAUAUGUGCUCGGAGGUAUCACAGACAGUUCCAGGAGGUGUGAGCCUACCUGGCUGAAUUCUGAUGCCAGGAUGGGUGAACCAGCAGGUGCCCGCAGGUGAGUCAUCUUCUUAUAGGUGGGCAAUUAAGAUGCCCAGCAACUGUGUUGAUUUCCAGGUCUCUUGUUUUAUUUUCUGGAUUUAUAGUUCUACUUAGUGGAUAGGAGCUGAGAAAGUGGAUCUGGUCAUCCAGGAAGGAAGUUCCUGCUCACAGGCUUUGCUUCCUGUUUUUCCUAAUUUGCUAAGAUAGUUUCUCUCAGUUUGCAUUGAAGGUUCUCCAACACAGCAGUAAUAACUUUGACUGCUAAACCCAAAAAGAUGGUUGUACAUUGUUGUCAUUGCCCCACUGAAUUCUAAUUCUGCCUCUGUGAUAUCCAGUGUUUCCCUAAUUUUAUGAAAAAGUUCCUGAGGAAUACAUUGUUGUAUUGUGUUAAUGAGUGUGGUUAUCUGGGAAGACAUAUCAUGUAAAAUUUACAUAUCCCAGUCAUACUAUUGCAUUAACUAGGAAUAUGGGGACUCCGUUUAUCAUCAGAGGAUGGCACCGAAAUUUUGAGUGGGUAGCAUUACUUCCUAAGUAUAUUUGUUUCAGGUAUAAAACUAUAAGGUUCUGAAUAACUCAAUACAGGUUCUUUUUACUUCUAAAUUCGAUUUUGAAAUACUGAAAUCAUUCGGAUUAUGAUAUUUGUAGACCAUUUUUAGGUCUGAGAAGGCAGGGGCAUUGUUUCUGGGCAGUAUCCACUCUGGUUGCCGUGUAAUUGGUUCUAAACCAUCGGUUGGUGAAUUGAAAUCCCUGUUUGUCCUGUGUUUUAAACAACACAAAAUUUCAAAAUCCUUAGGUAUUGUGUUUUGUGGUUUGGUUCUUACAGUAUGUGGUGAAUUAAGUCUCCCUUCCUUCUGGUUAGCAGUUACUCGUGUUGACAUCCCAGGAUCAUUCCUUGAUCCUCAUCUUAUGAGAUGCUGACCAGUGACUACUCCGAAACAGCCCCUUGGUGCACGUCCUCGUGGAUGUUCCAGUUUCCUCAGUAUCCACUCUUGGUGUUCCUGUUAGUGCUGAUUGUUCAAAUCCAGAAGUUGAAAUGACCCCAUGUUCAGUCUAUGUGUUUGUUCUCACUGGUCUUCUCAUCCUAGGCAGCCUUAUCUCUGUACCAUGUUUCAGGAAGGUCUUGGCUCUUUCUCUCAUCGUUAGCUUGACCUAUUUAUAUUGCCCAUGGUUUUCUCGUGUUGGUUAUUUUCAAACUUGAUUCCUUGAUUCCAUAAUUUGCCCUCACACACAACAAACCAAGAAAAAUCUGUUCUUUUGUUUUCUCAUGCUCCCAGUCCACAGAUGUUCUCUGAUAACAAUCACCAGGCAUCUCAAAGGCUGUCUGGUCCCUACACCCUUCUCAAAGCCACAUGAAUAUGUGAUUCUUUUGCUUUUCACUUUUGCGUCUCAGUUCUGUCACCUUUUCUACAAACCUCUGUUCCUGUGACUACCAUGAAACUUUAGCAUCUCCCACAAAAAGCCUAGGCUAGCAACUACUAGUGCACUACUAAUAAGAAGUUAAAAUAUAGAAACUUUGUGAGGAAAUUCCAGAAUUAGAGUGGUUUAUGCCAAACAUCUUAAGAUGCUUUUCCUCUGCUUAACUAAAGUCAUAUCUAUGGGGGAAAACUAGGUGAAAAGUUUUCUACAAACAAUGCCUUUGUUACCUCUAUACAAUUGUGUUUGUGAAUUAUGUAGGCCUCUAUAAUUACAUAUGGGGAAACUAAAACUGUGACUUGCAGUUCAGUAUUGCAAAUAUUAUAAAGCUUUCUACUGAAGUGCUGUAGUGAGAGAACAGGCAUGGAGUCCAGGAAAUCCUUCAAUGAAUUGGUAUAUGUGUAGUUUUCAGAGUGCUGCUUUCAAAGACAUUUAAACCUUGUAAACAUUUUCAUACAUAUGAUGUUAAAUUUGAAAGUGCUGCCUCAGCAAACACUGAGCUCUAUGUGAUUGAUAACUCCUCCUACACUAAUGGAUCACCUUGCUUGAUUUCCCCACCUGAUUACUAUGGAAGAUGACAUGUGAGUGUCAAAUGGGGAAAGAAAGGUUUUUCUUAAAGAUUUAUUUAUUUGAAAGGCAGAGCUACAGAGAGGCAGGGGCAGAGAGAGAAAAAGAGAGAGGUCUUUGAUCUGCUGGUUCACUCCCCAUAGGGCCGCAAUGGCUGGAGCUGAGCUGAUAUGUAGCCAGGAGCCCGGAGCUGCUUCUGGGUCUCUCUGUGGGUGCAGGAGCCCAAGCACUUUGGCCAUCUUCCACUUUCCUAGGCUAUAUCACAGAGCUGGAUCAGAAGUGGAGCAGUGGGGACUCAAACCAGUGCUCUUAUGAGAUGCCGGCACUACAGGCAGAAGCUUUUCCUGCUAUGCCGCAGUGCCGUCCCCAAGAGAUAUUCUUGUAGUAGACUAAUGUUCAUGGUGUAUAGCCCUCUGCUCUGUGCAGGUAGAAUUUGAGUAAUUCUUGGCAGACCCUAAAUUUUUGAGGUACAUAGAGAUAAUAUGAUAAAUGUAAUGGGACCCACAGUUUUCUGGUAAAAUACUUCAUGAUAUCUACUGGGGUCCUGCCAUUUAUGAAAAUGGGUUCUAAAGCAACCUGAUCAGUGAAGACGUUGCCACCUAUUGAUCCAGUGAAGCAAGUGCAGCGUGAGCACCUCUGACCCUGGCAGAGGCUGCAGCCCCUGGUGACUAAGAUGCCGUAGGCCUGUACUGCUACUCAUUCCACGGGGAAGGCCCUGCCAUACUGCUGUGAGCAUCCUGGUUUAAUAUUUUGGUAUUGCCAUGUUUUGCUUUGUUCUUCAACUUAAAUACAUGAUAUCUCCAUUUGGUUCGUUUAUGUCCUCUUGCAGUUUUCACAGCUAAAUUUCUUUUUUAAUAAUUUUUAUUUAUACAGAGGUGAACAGAUAUCAUGUAUUUCAUAGACACAGAUUGAGGAGUAUAGUGAUACUUCACCUUUCCCUCCUCUCCCCAGCAUGCUGCCCUCCUCCCUCCUUCCUUUCCUGUGAUUACAAAAUAAGCUGAAAGAAUGUCAUUGUGAAAACUAUAGGAAAGUGUAAAUUCUAAAACUUGACAGAACUAACUCCAUAAGGUGUAGCUCCUGGUAGGAACUGAAAAAUGCAGAUUGGGCUGUUUAAAAAUUGUCAUGCAUUUCAAUAUGGAAACCCUAGGAAUUUAGAUUGAGUUUAGGUGAGAAACUACCAUGGUGCCUCCCCAAAGGUGUGUUCUCAAAACAUAAUGUGCCCACACCCAACUAUUGCUUUGAACCAAGGGCCAUUGUGGUCACCAGUGAUGGGAAAUGGAAGGCAUUUUAGGGCAGUGAGCCUGAGGACUGUGACCAAGACCUGUCCCGGUGAGUCAGUGAGAGAUCAAACUAUGCAUGAGCCCCCUGGCUCCAAGCCCCAGCACUUGCCCCAUCUUCCUAUCAGCCUUCAUUUACAAAGUACAGAUUCAAGUGAAAUCCAGCAAGAAUUUGGACAGCAGAGAGCGUACUCUUUUUCGUUGGGUCCAGUUGCCGUGUCACUGGUGACAUGCUGAUGAAGCAGGCCCUGCCUUUUCAGUUCCAUGGUUUAAUUGGGCGAAUUCUCAACCUGCUUGUAAUAUGUAACUGUGUUACAUGCAUAUAGGAAUGUACACCCAUCGGUGGGAGAAUACCAUAUGGUAAUUUAUAAUUCUAAUUUCACUUCUCACUUUCCUGGUUUCCUUCAGAUAUACUAACUUUUAUUUUCUAUUUCUGAGUUUUCAGUCUGAGGGAGGUGAGGUGACAGUGUAAUGUGUUACUUGGAUAUUGUCUUAAAUAUUCUCUUGAUAGAAAUCCUGAAUCUUUAUUUUCAAGAUAUAAACCGCCUGAAAUUUAGUUUAGUCAAGUUCAUGAAUGUUUUUCUUAAGAUUUAUUUAUUUGAAAGUCAGAGUUACACAGAGAGAGAAGGAGAGGCGGAGGGAGAGAGAGAGGUCUUUCAUCUGCUGGAUCACUCCCCAGUUGGCCGCAAUGGCCAGAACUCUGCUGAUCCGCAGCCAGGAGCCAAGAGGUUCUUCCAAGUCUCCCACGUGGGUGCGAGGGCCCAAGGACUUGGGCCAUCCUUUACUGCUUUCCCAGUCCAUAGCAGAAAGCUGGAUUGGAAGUGGAGCAGCCGGGACUUGAACCGAUGCCCAUAUGGGAUACCGGCACUGCAUUUGGUGGCCUCACCUACUACGCCACAGUGCCAGCCAGCCCCAAUCAUGAAUGUUUUAAAACUCAUUUCUUUCCCAUGAAGCCUACCAAAACCCCACAAUAUUAACCUAAGUUCCUUAAUUUUUAUUUGCAUUUUAAGUAUAGGAACCUAUUUUUGCAUGUUUUAUUUUUCCAGCCUUAUUACAAUACAACCGAGAAACAAAAAUUGUAUAUAUUCAAGGCAUGCAAUGUGUGUUUCGAUAUGAGUCUGAUCUUUACAUUGCAUUUUCACACAAACUUUUCGACUCUCCUGGUACUUACCAUACACUAUGAAAGGGGUAGUGCAAUGAAGCUACUUAACAAAGUUAUCACUCCUAUAGUGUUUUUAAAAUUUUUAAAUUUUAUUUAUGUAUGUAUUUUCCCAGAAGAUUUAUUUGAAAGGCAGGGUCCAGCGCCAUGGCUCACUUGGUUAAUCCUCUGCCUGCAGUGCCGGCAUCCCAUAUGGGUGCCGGGUUCGAGUCCCGGUUGCUCCUCUUCCAGUCCAGCUCUCUGCUGUGGCCCGGGAUGGUGGAGGAUGGCCCAAGUGCCUGGGCACCUGAACCCGCGUGGGAGACCAGGAGGAAGGACCUGACUCCUGGCUUUGGAUCAGUGCAGCGCCAGCUCUAGGGGCCAUUUGGGGAGUGAACCAACAGAAGAAAGACCUUUCUCUCUGUCUUUCUCUCACUGUAUAACUACCUGUCAAAAAAAAAAAAAAAAAAAAAAAAAAAAAAGAAAGGCAGGCAGCAGGGAAAGAGAGUAAGAUAGAGUGAGAGAGAGGAUGAGGGAUAUCUCAUCUCAUGCAUUAUUUCACUCCUCAAAUGUCCUCAGUGGCAGGGCUGGACCCCAGGUCUCCCACUUUGGCACAGUGGCCCAAGCCGUUGGGACAUCUUCUAGUGCUUUGCCAGGCACAUUAGCAGGGAGGUGAAUGGGAAGUGGAGCAGCUGGGACUCGGUCUGGUGCCCAUAGGGGAUGCUGGCCGUCUAGGUGGAGGCUUAAGCUUUUACACCCCAGCUCCAGCACCAUAACCAUAUAUUUGUAUCUUGUGACUAACAUCUCUUCAUUUUUCCUGCUCUCUGUGUUAGUUUGACUUUUGUAUAUUUCACAUGUAAGUGUGAUCAUGUAGUAUUUCUUAUUUCUGUGUCUUGUUUCACUCAUUGUAAUGUCCUGUAGUUCCAUACUUUUGGAUCCAUCUUGUGACAAGUAGUAGUAUUUCCUUUGUUUUUAAGGUUUGGCGAGGAUUCCACUGUGUGUGUAUCCCAGUUUUCCUUAUGGGUCCAUCAACAAAGAUUUGGGUUAUUUCCAUAUCGUGGAAUUGUGAAUGAUGCUGAAGUGAAUGUGGGGGUGCAGACAGUUCUUUGAGAUGGUGGUUUUCUUUUGGAUUCAUGGCUAAUAAAGGUUGUUCCUUUUUUAAUUUCAUUUGAGGAACUUCCAUAUUGCUUUUCAUAAUGGCUGGCACAAUUUACAUUCCCUCCACUAGUGUGUGUUCUGUUUCUCUACAUUGUGCCCAAUACUUGUUAUCUUUUAACUUUUUAAUAGUAGCCAUUUAACAGAUAUAAUAACCAUUGUCAUCUUGAUUUGCAUUUUGCUGAUGAUAGCAAUGUUCAGAACUUUUUCACAUACCCUCAGGGUACAUUGUAUGUCUUUGUUGGAAAACAUUGAUUCAGUCCUUUGUCCUUUUUAAAUUGUAUUCUUUGCUGCUUAGUGGUAUGCCUUCCUUGUAUUAUUCCCUUGAUCACACAUCCGGUUUGCUAAUAUUUCCUCCUAUCCAUUGGUGUGCCUUUUCAUUUCACUGAUCUUUGCUUUACUAGUUUGUUGGGGUUUCAUUUCCUUACAUUUGCUUUUGCUCUCUGUGCUUUAGUUGUUAGCACAUAAGCAACCACUCUUGAGGCUGAUGUCAAGGACUUUUCUACUUUAUAAGUUGUAAGUGUUCAGAUCUUCUGUAUGGACUUUCAGUUCAUUUUGAGCUGAUUUUAAUAUGUGGUGUAACAGUGAUACAGUUUCAGUUUGGACAUGUGGUUAUCCAGGUUGCUUCUGCCUCAGAUGUGGGCCUUUACGUCCAGUGACUGCAUGUUUGGUAACCCUGGUGGGCCAGGGUCCCCAGUGUCUUCAGUUGGAUCCAUUAAACCAGAUGCUGUGGCUGGAGUUGGGCAGGAGCUUGGCAUGUGUAGUGAUUUGGGAGUAGGAGACCAUGCAGUGAUGGGGUCAAGAUAGGGGACUGUGGCCUCCUCGUCUGGAAGCCAGGGCUAUAUGAGGGUGUGUCAGACAGUUUUUUGAAGGGUAGACAUUUGGCAUGGUGGGAAAGACAAUGCUCAGGAUACCAGUGGCAGCCAGUGAUGGCUUAAGUAGUUGGAUUCUUGCUACCACAUUGGAGACCAUCUUCCAGCUUCAGCCUGGGUCAGAUCAGCCCUGAGUAUUUUGGACAUUUGGGUAAUGAACUACUAGAUGGGUGGUAUCUUCUCUCUCUCUCUCUCUCUCUCUCUCUCUCUUCUCUCUCUCUCUCUCUCUCCUCCCCCCUCCCCCUUAUUGUUUCUCCGUGUUUUGCUUUUGAAACCAAUUGCAAUAUUAAAACUAGGUGGAAAAAAUGGUUUACGGAUGAUUAUCCCAGUAGCCUUAGAUUACUGAGUCAUUUCCUAGGAUCAUGCAGGGGGAUGUGUGUAGCUCACAGUAAUCUGUUAUCUUUUAUUAGAAAAUGAAAUAAAGGAGCCCAAGGCUCUGUCCAUAAAAUAAUGCCAAAGAUUAAUGUAGAUUUGAUCAGUACAAAUUUUAUAUGAGUAUUGAAAUGUCACACUAGCCCAUAAAUUUGUACAACUCUUGUGGAUGAAAUUUAAGGAAAAAUACCAACAUGUUACUUGGUGUAUAAAGUUAAGGGGUUUAAAUGAUUAAUGUCACAACUAAUAUUAUGGUAUUUGAAAAUGGUUAAUUAAUACAAGCAAAAACAUAACCUGUAAAUAACUGAACUGUUCUUUUCUUGUCAUGCUCAGUCGAAGGGCUACCUGGCUGUGUUUAAGUUGGUGAUGGAUAUUUAUUUUAGAUUGUUUCCUUUAAUAAACUAAAAUGGUAGUA